rnacentral:rRNA from 1 species
GGGAUAUUGCACAAUGGGGGCAACCCUGAUGCAGCGACGCCGCGUGAGCGAUGGAGUACUUCGGUAUGUAAAGCUCUGUCAGCAGGGAAGAGAAUGACGGUACCUGACCAAGAAGCCCCGGCUAAAUACGUGCCAGCAGCCGCGGUAAUACGUAUGGGGCAAGCGUUAUCCGGAUUUACUGGGUGUAAAGGGAGCGUAGGCGGCAGGGCAAGCCUGAUGUGAAAGCCCGGGGCUCAACCCCGGGACUGCAUUGGGAACUGCCCCGCUCGAGUGCCGGAGGGGCAGGCGGAAUUCCUAGUGUAGCGGUGAAAUGCGUAGAUAUUAGGAGGAACACCAGUGGCGAAGGCGGCCUGCUGGACGGUGUACUGGCGCUGAGGCUCGAAAGCGUGGGGAGCAAAC